CAGCCGCCGCGGUAAUACGGAGGGGGCUAGCGUUGUUCGGAAUUACUGGGCGUAAAGCGCACGUAGGCGGCUUGGUAAGUUAGAGGUGAAAGCCCGGAGCUCAACUCCAGAAUUGCCUUUAAGACUGCAUCGCUUGAAUCCAGGAGAGGUGAGUGGAAUUCCGAGUGUAGAGGUGAAAUUCGUAGAUAUUCGGAAGAACACCAGUGGCGAAGGCGGCUCACUGGACUGGUAUUGACGCUGAGGUGCGAAAGCGUGGGGAGCAAACAGGAUUAGAGACCCCUGUAGUCCCUGUCUCUUAUAA
rnacentral:rRNA from 1 species